GACGAACGCUGGCGGCGUGCUUAACACAUGCAAGUCGAACGAUGAAGCUAGAGCUUGCUCUGAUGGAUUAGUGGCGAACGGGUGAGUAACACGUGAGUAACCUGCCCCGAACUCUGGGAUAACUGCUGGAAACGGUAGCUAAUACCGGAUAUGACCAAUGAAGGCAUCUUCUGUUGGUGGAAAGAAUUUCGGUUCGGGAUGGACUCGCGGCCUAUCAGCUUGUUGGUGAGGUAACGGCUCACCAAGGCGACGACGGGUAGCCGGCCUGAGAGGGUGAUCGGCCACACUGUGACUGAGACACGGCCCAGACUCCUACGGGAGGCAGCAGUGGGGAAUAUUGCACAAUGGGCGCAAGCCUGAUGCAGCAACGCCGCGUGAGGGACGACGGCCUUCGGGUUGUAAACCUCUUUUAGUAGGGAAGAAGCGAAAGCGACGGUACCUGCAGAAAAAACACCGGCUAACUACGUGCCAGCCGCCGCAGUAA
rnacentral:rRNA from 1 species